rnacentral:rRNA from 1 species
UUGAACGCUGGCGGCAGGCCUAACACAUGCAAGUCGAGCGGUAACACAGAGAGCUUGCUCUCGGGUGACGAGCGGCGGACGGGUGAGUAAUGUCUGGGAAACUGCCUGAUGGAGGGGGAUAACUACUGGAAACGGUAGCUAAUACCGCAUAACGUCGCAAGACCAAAGUGGGGGACCUUCGGGCCUCAUGCCAUCAGAUGUGCCCAGAUGGGAUUAGCUAGUAGGUGGGGUAACGGCUCACCUAGGCGACGAUCCCUAGCUGGUCUGAGAGGAUGACCAGCCACACUGGAACUGAGACACGGUCCAGACUCCUACGGGAGGCAGCAGUGGGGAAUAUUGCACAAUGGGCGCAAGCCUGAUGCAGCCAUGCCGCGUGUGUGAAGAAGGCCUUCGGGUUGUAAAGCACUUUCAGCGGGGAGGAAGGCGGUGAGGUUAAUAACCUCAUCGAUUGACGUUACCCGCAGAAGAAGCACCGGCUAACUCCGUGCCAGCAGCCGCGGUAAUACGGAGGGUGCAAGCGUUAAUCGGAAUUACUGGGCGUAAAGCGCGCGCAGGCGGUCUGUCAAGUCGGAUGUGAAAUCCCCGGGCUCAACCUGGGAACUGCAUUCGAAACUGGCAGGCUAGAGUCUUGUAGAGGGGGGUAGAAUUCCAGGUGUAGCGGUGAAAUGCGUAGAGAUCUGGAGGAAUACCGGUGGCGAAGGCGGCCCCCUGGACAAAGACUGACGCUCAGGUGCGAAAGCGUGGGGAGCAAACAGGAUUAGAUACCCUGGUAGUCCACGCCGUAAACGAUGUCGAUUUGGAGGUUGUGCCCUUGAGGCGUGGCUUCCGGAGCUAACGCGUUAAAUCGACCGCCUGGGGAGUACGGCCGCAAGGUUAAAACUCAAAUGAAUUGACGGGGGCCCGCACAAGCGGUGGAGCAUGUGGUUUAAUUCGAUGCAACGCGAAGAACCUUACCUGGUCUUGACAUCCACAGAACUUUCCAGAGAUGGAUUGGUGCCUUCGGGAACUGUGAGACAGGUGCUGCAUGGCUGUCGUCAGCUCGUGUUGUGAAAUGUUGGGUUAAGUCCCGCAACGAGCGCAACCCUUAUCCUUUGUUGCCAGCGGUUCGGCCGGGAACUCAAAGGAGACUGCCAGUGAUAAACUGGAGGAAGGUGGGGAUGACGUCAAGUCAUCAUGGCCCUUACGACCAGGGCUACACACGUGCUACAAUGGCAUAUACAAAGAGAAGCGACCUCGCGAGAGCAAGCGGACCUCAUAAAGUAUGUCGUAGUCCGGAUUGGAGUCUGCAACUCGACUCCAUGAAGUCGGAAUCGCUAGUAAUCGUAGAUCAGAAUGCUACGGUGAAUACGUUCCCGGGCCUUGUACACACCGCCCGUCACACCAUGGGAGUGGGUUGCAAAAGAAGUAGGUAGCUUAACCUUCGGGAGGGCGCUUACCACUUUGUGAUUCAUGACUGGGGUG